AUCUUCGAAAUGAAAAGGAAUAGUUCAGCGCUGAAUCCUUUAGUCGAUGGCUAAAGGACCUGAUGGCCUUUAAGAGAGCCUAUCUGUCGGGUUUAGACUUCGGAAGAUCCCUCGAAUGGGACUCCGAAGCAGGUGCGAGGCCUGUAACGAAGUGAUACCCGUCAGUUUGAGCCUCUAUAGAGUCGGGUUACUUGAGAGUGUAGCCCAAAGCGGAAGGUAAACCCCUUCUAAAACUAAAUAUUACCACGAGACCGAUAGCGAACAAGUACCGCGAGGGAAAGUUGAAAAGAACUUUGAAGAGAGAGUUCAAAAGGGCGUGAAACCGCUUAGAAUAAAACGGACAGAGCCGUCGGGAGUCUCCGGGAAUCAGUCUUACGAUACGCGAACGUGUCGUUGUUCGGAACGGUAAAGUCCGACUGCGAAACGCUAGUAACGUUCGUUUGGCGCAUUUCUCGGAGAUAAGCACCGCGACCGAUACACGCAGGUCGACGAAGCGUUCGGAUUGAGGUCGAGACUCUUCGCGGAGACUCGUAACCAGCCUGUUCGCUGUAAAUUUAAUCGUUGAACCGUAGUAUCGAGCGCCUAAGUAAUUUUGAUAUACGUCGGUUGUAAAGCUCGCUCGAGUAAUGGCUAGUCGGUCAAUAGUUUCGGUCGCUUGCUCGCAGGUACCGAUCUAUUCGAUUCGGCUUAAAAGUUAUCGGCGACAUUUCGGCGUAUAGGCGUCGGCGGUGUCAGAGUCGGUCACCUGUCCGACCCGUCUUGAAACACGGACCAAGGAGUCUAACAUAUGCGCGAGCUAAUGGGUGGAAAACCCAAAAGCGCAAUAAAAGUAAAGGCUGUUUCGGACAGCUAAGGUAUGAUCCUAGAAUUUUCGAAUUCCAGGCGCAAUACCGUCCCGUCCCGACCGCAUGUCGGUAGGGCGGAGAUAGAGUGCAUACGUUGGGACCCGAAAGAUGGUGAACUAUGCCUGAGCAGAGCGAAGCCAGAGGGAACUCUGGUGGAGGUUCGUAGCGGUUCUGACGUGCAAAUCGAUCGUCAGAUUUGGUAUAGCU
rnacentral:rRNA from 1 species